ACUUAACUGCACCAUAAGCCCAUAAAACGCUAGUGAAAAAGGACAGUUUUGAAUUGGACCAUGAGAAGGAUUAGAGGAGCCACAUUAGUGUAGAUCUAGCAGACAUAAUAAGUACAAAUUAAAAUACAUACCUGGCUUAUUUCUUUUCUCAUCAUUAUAAGCAUUCUUUUCUGUGUCUGGAAAUUUUUUGCAGACUUUCGUUUGAGAACCAUUUCUGACUACUGUGAAGCUGGCUGCCAGAUUACAGUGCCUGCCAACCUGCUUCAAAACUACAGCAAGUACUAGACGUCAACCUCGUCGUCAUGGUGGUGGUGUAGCUGCUUAGAUGCCAAAAUUUUGGAUUUGCCGCUAACGUCAGCAUCAUGAGAAUUGACUUUGACAGAGACCAGACGACUGAGCCCUGCUGCUGCGUCCGGCGCUGAGAUCAUCAGUCCCAGGAACGAGCGCUCCUGGUGACAGCUCCACCACUGCAAACCCACGCCAGGCUGUGGCCCCACUCAGGAUAGAAAGCCAGGCAAAGACAGCAGAAAGAAAUUCCUGAGAGCGACAGAGAUGGUGAGGAGGAUACUAAAGAAGUAUAGGCAGACCAAGAUAAAACAGCAGCCCUUUUCCAGCUGGAGGAGCCUCCCAGCCUAGCUAGUAAUAGAGACUAAAGUCAAGACAUGCUUCUAAUAAGGCCAGUAUUAACUCACCAUAAUUACUUUGCCUUAUGGUAAUGCUAAUUCAUCAUCAUAGCACUGCUAUAAAUAGAAUAUAGUCACUUCACAUUUUCCAAUAAAUUCAGUACAUUUUGAAAUUAAGUAAGGUAG
rnacentral:lncRNA from 1 species